ACUACUAAUAUUUUAUCAAAUAGACAUAGUAUCAACUAUUCUCCAAAUUAGUUUCUCUAAACCCAUAGACUAAUUUCACUCUGAGUCUUUAUCAAAGAACUAGUGGAGUUUUCUUUUACAGUAGAUAGCACUUAACACAGAAAGUCAUUACUGGCCAAAGUGCUGGUUCUGACAGUUGCUCAGCCAGAAAUGAGACAUCUGCAUCACACGUUAUCCCUAAAACUGGUGUACUAUCACUGAAGGGAGGCCAGUGGCAUUCAUAUUGUGCUGCUAGAGGAGAAAUUCUUGGACCAGUACAAGACCAGAGUGAAAACAUUUGCCAAGAAUGUUUUCAUUAAUCAAGAAUGAAAAUCAAAGAUUCAAGACAAUCAGAUACCAUCAUAGUUCCGACCAUAAAUGAUGCUGACUGGCAAUGUGGUGGCAUUAUUCCCAUGACUGAUUGUAAGAGCCAGGGUUUAAAGAGGACCAGAGUGAAACAGUG
rnacentral:ncRNA from 1 species